rnacentral:lncRNA from 1 species
GUUUUUUAGGAAAUUUGUUCUUUUUAGGUAUAAAUGAUAAUGGAGUAUAUUUUGAGAUAUCAUACAUACAUGAAAUGUAACUUAUUCUAACUAGGAUCCUUUCCUUUUGGUUGUACAUGAUGUGGAGCUACACUGGUUGUGUGUUCAUGUAUAAGGAGAGGAAAGUUAUGCCUACUUCAUUGCACUGGCUUUCCUAUUUCCAUUUUUCUUCCUUCCCCUUUCUUCCCUUUUGUCUAAUGAAUGAACUUCGUUCUUCUUAUCUGCCCCACUCCUCGUGGCUUAGCAUCUACAUAUCAGAGAGAACAUUCGGCCUUGAGUUUUUGGGAUUGACUUAUUUCACUUCCUGAAACAUUCUUUAGUUCCAUCCACUUACCAGCAAUUCCAUAAUUCAUUCCUCUUUAUGGCUGAGGAAUAUCCAUUGUGUAUACAGACCACAUUUUUUUCUCCAUUCAUCUGUUGAAGGGCAGCUAGGUUGGUUCCAUAGCUUGGCUAUUGUAAAUUGAGCUGGUGUAAAUAUUGAUGUGAUUUUUGAAGGUGGAUUCUGUCUCCUGAACCUUGACUGAACUUGUAAAUUAGUCCUAACAGUUUUUAGUGGAGAUUGUAGCAUUUUCUAUGAAUAGGAAUUAUCGUCUGCCAACAGAGACAACUCUUUCUUCUUCUUUUUGGUUUGGAUGCCUGUCAUUUCUUUUUUCUGACUGACUCCUCCAGCUGGGACAUCCAGCACUAUUUGGAAAAGAAGUUGUUGAAGUGUAGGCAUCCUCACCUUGGCCCUGAUCUGUAGGUAUUGCUUUCAUUUUUGACUUGUUUGAUAUGGUAGGUCCCAUAUGACCUUUGUUGCCUUGUAGUCCAUUUCAUUUUUGCCAGAUUUUUGGAGGACAUCCAUCAUGCAAGAAUGUUGAAUCUUUUCAGAAUCAUUUUUCUACACCUAUUGAGAUAAUAUGAUUUUAUCUUUUAUUCUGUCAGCAUGGUUUAUCACAUGAAUUAUUUGUGUGUUUUGAAGCAUUCUUGCAUCCCUGGUAUAAAUCCCUCAUGAUCCUAGUGUAUGAUUCUUUGAAUGUGCUGUGAAUCAGUUUCCUUGUAUUUUGUUAAGUAUAUUUAUGUCUAAGGAGAUGACAGAUAUUGGCAUGUAGGUGUUGCUAUUGUUUU